GACGAACGCUGGCGGCGUGCCUAAUACAUGCAAGUAGAACGCAGUUGCGAACGGGUGAGUAACGCGUAGGUAACUGCCUCAUAGCGGGGGUUAACUAUUGGAAACGAUAGCUAAUACCGCAAACUGUGCGAUGGACCUGCGUGGUAUUAGCUAGUUGGUGAGGUAAAGGCUCACCAAGGCGACGAUGCAUAGCCGACCUGAGAGGUGGAUCGGCCACACUGGGACUGAGACACGGCCCAGACUCCUACGGGAGGCAGCAGUAGGGAAUCUUCGGCAAUGGGCGAAAGUCUGACCGAGCAAUGCCGCGUGAGUGAAGAAGGUUUUCGGAUCGUAAAACUCUGUUGUUAGAGAAGCGGUAUCUACACAGAAAGCCACGGCUAACUACGUGCCAGCAGCCGCGGUAAUAC
rnacentral:rRNA from 1 species